rnacentral:tRNA from 1 species
AUUUAUAUAGUUUAAUUAAAACAUUAUAUUUUCAAUAUAAAAAUAAAAUUUUUAAUUUUUAUAAAUA